GGGCCUGUAGUCUAGUGGCUAUGAUGUCGCCUCGACACGGCGAAGGUCAUCGGUUCGAAUCCGAUCAGGCCCA
rnacentral:tRNA from 1 species